rnacentral:rRNA from 1 species
GAUUAAGUUAUUAAGGGCGCACGGUGGAUGCCUUGGCACUAGAAGCCGACGAAGGACGUUACUAACGACGAUAUGCUUUGGGGAGCUGUAAGUAAGCUUUGAUCCAGAGAUUUCCGAAUGGGGAAACCCAGCACGAGUUAUGUCGUGUUAUCUGCAUGUGAAUACAUAGCAUGCAAG